rnacentral:RNase_P_RNA from 1 species
CCAGACGGCCGGACGGCCGCUGACGCUUAGGCGUUGGAGGAAAGUCCGGGCUCCACGGGAAUGCGGUGCCGGCUAACGGCCGGCGGGGGCGACCCCAGGGAAAGUGCCACAGAGAACAGUCCGCCGGCGCAAGGGUCCGUCCCCCGCCGGCAAGGGUGAAACGGUGCGGCAAGAGCGCACCGCGCGCCUGGUAACAGGGGCGGCAGGGCAAACCCCACCGGGAGCAAGACCGAAUAGGGGCGACCGGCGAGGCCGGGCGGAGUGAUCCGCCAGGCUGGCGCAAGGGCAUUCCCGCCCCGUCGCCCGGGUUGGUCGCGCGAGGCGCGCCGCGAGGCGCGUCCCAGAGGAAUGGCCGUCCCACGCCCGCCGUAGCGAUACGGCGAGCGCGGACAGAACCCGGCUUACAGGCCGUCUGGCACC